CAGCUCAGACCUGUUAUAUGAAGCGAUGCCGGUAGAAGAGACAACAUGGAUAUAAGAACAUUGUUUUCGAAGAAGAGGAAAACUGGACCAACAUAUGGAAGAAAAAUGAUGACUGGUUACCUGGCCUCAAAAGGAAUCCGAGCAUCAGAGGGGCGUGUUGGUCGUGUCCUCAGAGAAACUAACCAGCCAUAUCAUGCAGAUCGGUAUCGUAGAUAAAGGAAUUUAAAUCCAGUGCCAUACAGUGCAGAGUACAUGGGUCACAAAUUGCACAUUGACCAAAACGAGAAACUGGUGAUGUAUGGGGUGACCCACGUCCUUGCCUUGGACGGAUUCUCCAGCA